GCCAUCAGGUGGAUAAAUUGAAGUUACCCAAUAUGUAUUGAUGAUGGGGGCUAUGCUCAGAAACCAAAAACUUUUUAUUUUAUUUUAUUUUAUUUAUUUUUAUUAUUAUUUUUUUUAGUUACAAACAGACAAUCCCAUCUCAUCCGUUAUUAGUCCAUUAUCACAAGUGAGAUGCUAGACCAAGAUAGCACAAUUAACAAUAUGGAAACUUAUCAGAUUUAAUGACGGUGUAUUUUGAAACAGAGGUCCAGAGGUCACCCACGGUAGGAAAAAAAAAGUCAAAUUCACCCUCAAGAUAUGAUGUUAUUAGGUAGAAAUAUAUUAGAUUGUUUUCACCAACUAGGAAAGGAGAAAAAAUACAUCUGCAGUGCUAGCAUUUAUAUAUACUUGCAUGCUUGUGUCUUUCAGUUCCUUGUCAGUGAUGCUGGAGGAGUCGAACUCCAGUUGCUACUCAGGUGGUCCAUUUGAAUGUGGUUCUUGCUACUAGAAAACUUUGUGUGACAUAUUUUAUUUUGAACUUCAACAUUCAAAAAAUGUAACAGCUUCAAGUCUUCUGUUGGCUGGAAACAUCUUUGUGUUGCACGAUUAUUAUUUCUUUUUAGGUUUUCAGUUCACAUCAUCUGAACAAAACUCACACUGCUUAGCCCUAAGACAGGGUGGGUCUGUUUAAGAAUAAAGGUGGAUACUAAAUAGUUGAGGUGUGGGGAAGAGGAGUCAUGAUCAAAUCAGAGGAACUGAGAUGUGAAAGUGAAAUUAGAGAUGAAAUUCUUUGAGGCUUUUUUUCAUGAACUUCAUACAUGGUAGUAAAUUUCUUUUAGAAGCUGUAUUAAUAUGUCUGGCCAAGGAAGUAAAGGCAUGCCAAUUUACUAUAUUAUUAGCUGAUGCAGCAUAUUCCAAAGUUGUUCUGCUAAGCACCAGUUCUCUCCCAGAUGUUAAAGGACAAGUCAUAGUGAAAUUCUUAUUUACAGGCGACAGAGGCUGACCCUGGAUGACUUAAAUAGGAAGAGAAGAGUACUCGAAUUCAGAGCCCUGAUGGAAGACUGGAGAACAGGUUGAGACAAGUUCAGGAGCCAAGGGAGAGGGCUUUUCGUGUGACUGCAUGCAUGGUGAAUCUCCAGGAGGGAUUAUAGGACCACCCCCCCCCCCUUCAUCAUCCGAUUGCGACAAGGUAAAAAGCACGGAAUCCAACAACCAAACAGCCAGUGACCUUGAAGCCAUAGGCAGCAUAGGAAACUGCUCCUAUCUGUAUUCAUCGAUGACGCCUAAACUUUAGGUCGGAGUCAUAUUUAAUUUGAAAAGAUUGGGAAGCUGAAGACCAUAUCUUCACGUGCAAAUCCCAGCCUUAGCUCUCUGGCCAAUAGAGGUAAAUACAAGUCACAUGCUUGACUGAAAUCAGCACUGAAGUUGAGCUUUCUAAAAAGUUUCAUUAUUUAAUGUUUCUUUUUUCAAGCUUCCGUACUUAUGACUUUCUUGUUAUCCUUCAACAUUUGUAAAAUACAAAGCUAACACCAUGAGAUAGAGACAUUCAUUGAAACAAAAAUCUUUUUGGGGUCUACCGUGUGAAAGGCCUGUGCUAGAUAUAAGGGGUAAACUCAUGAGUUAGACGUAUUUCCUGCCUUUAAGAGCUUUUACCUAGACUGUGAAUUGGUGUAUUUAUUUAAAAGACUUUUUUUCAGGCCGACUAUGAUCUAGGCACUGUGCUAGGAGCUCAGAUAAAGCUGUGAACAAGAAAAUAAAAGUUUCUAUUCUAUGGCACAUAGAUGCAGUGGGGGAGCCCGAUAUUAAAUCACACAGCACAUAUUUAUUCAUCGAAUCAUUCUUGCGAUCAGAGCCACAAAGUCUUAGACCAGAAUAAGCCUGUGAGGAUAUGAUGGAACGCGUUCUCUCGGGAAGUGGCCUGUGAGCUGUGCUCUGAAGGAUGAACAGGAAUAAAUGUUAUGGAGAUAUGGUUGGAGGGAGCGAGAAGAGAAAUAAGAGUUUUAGAACAGGAUAGAGUUUUGCUGGUACCAGAGGCAGGGUGGCCUGACCAAGCAGGGCCUUGGAGAGCGUGGGAAAGUUUCAGUCUUCAUGCUAAAUGCAAUGGGAAGACAUGGGGCAGAUUUCCUCAGGGAAGGAAUGUAAUCAGACAUGCACUUUAGAAAGUUUACUCUGGCCAUGCAUAUUGAAUGGCUUGCAAGGGCAGUAAUGGAGGCAGAAAUACCAGCUAGAAGGUUGGUCUAGUAAUUCAAGGGGAAAAUGCUGGUAGGUUCAACUAGGGUAGGUGUGGGAGAAUGAUGCUGAGAGGUGUAUAGAUACAAGAGAUAUAAAUGAGUCCCAAACAACAGAACUUGAUGCUUAAUUGGAUGUGGGAGUUAUUUAGGAGAAAGUCAGGUAAAUUGCCAAAUGCAAUACGGUAUGCUAAAUGCUCUAAGAGACUAUAGAGGCAUCUGGCCUGUUGCUGGGUCUAAGCAAAUGUAUAUGCAGAAAACCCCACAAAGGACCUCAAGUCAUAUAUAAUGUAUUUGAAGAGGCUAGAUGUAAAUGCUGAAAAGUUAGCUCAUAAUCAAGGCACUAAAUGCCAGUCAUCACAGGUGUGAUACAGGCACUACGGUUUGUUGGUGUUCCCAGGUCAGUUGUGGAUAGAGGUAGCCAGGGAAGGCUUCAUGCAAUAGACGGAAUGAGCUGGGCUUGGGCAAAGAAAGAAAGAACAAUCCUGGUGGAGAGAACACACAGAAGAGGGGGAGGAGGAAGUAAGGAUAGACAUAACAUAUUUAGAGAGUACCAAAUAGACCAGUUGUAUCAAAAUGGGAGAUUUGGGGGGAAAGAAAAAUUUGGAAAAGAUAAAAUUGGAAGUAUAGGUUAGGGGAAGCAAGGGGUUGCAGAAUUAUAUGCAAAAUUCAUAAAUACUGAUUCACACCUGGAUUGUCAUGAGUAAGCUGUAAAUCUCUGGCACUAGGAAGAGCUCAAGUUCUCGGUCUCCUUGUACCUUUUCUACAAUGAAAUCUCCGUCCCCCUGCCCCGCCCCAGCUUUAUUGAGAUGUGAUUGACAUACAGCAUCGUGCCACUUGAAUGGGCAAAACGUGUUGAUCUGAUGCUGGAUCAACUGGAACUGGCUAGCCAACACCCUCAUCAGGUCACGUAACUAAUGUUUCUUUUUUGUGGUGAGAACAUUUAAAAUUCACUCUCUUAGCAACUUUCAAAUGUAUACUACCCAUUGAGUAUUCUUGGCUCCCCUGUCAAAUAUUACUUGACUAUACAUGCAAGGAUUUAUUUCUGGGCUCUUGAUUUUGUUCGAUCCAUCUAUGUGUUUAUUUUUAUGCCACUAUUAUACUGUUUUGAUUA